rnacentral:rRNA from 1 species
UCCGUAGGUAACCUGCGGAGGGAUCAUUACCGAGUUUACAACUCCCAAACCCCUGUGAACAUACCUUAUGUUGCCUCGGCGGAUCAGCCCGCGCCCCGUAAAAAGGGACGGCCCGCCGCAGGAACCCUAAACUCUGUUUUUAGUGGAACUUCUGAGUAUAAAAAACAAAUAAAUCAAAACUUUCAACAACGGAUCUCUUGGUUCUGGCAUCGAUGAAGAACGCAGCAAAAUGCGAUAAGUAAUGUGAAUUGCAGAAUUCAGUGAAUCAUCGAAUCUUUGAACGCACAUUGCGCCCGCCAGUAUUCUGGCGGGCAUGCCUGUUCGAGCGUCAUUUCAACCCUCAAGCCCAGCUUGGUGUUGGGAGCUGCAGUCCUGCUGCACUCCCCAAAUACAUUGGCGGUCACGUCGAGCUUCCAUAGCGUAGUAAUUUACACAUCGUUACUGGUAAUCGUCGCGGCCACGCCGUUAAACCCCAACUUCUGAAUGUUGACCUCGGAUCAGGUAGGAAUACCCGCUGAACUUAAGCAUAUCAAUAAGCGGAGGA